GUGGGGAAUAUUGGACAAUGGGCGCAAGCCUGAUCCAGCCAUGCCGCGUGAGUGAUGAAGGCCUUAGGGUUGUAAAGCUCUUUCACCGAUGAAGAUAAUGACGGUAGUCGGAGAAGAAGCCCCGGCUAACUUCGUGCCAGCAGCCGCGGUAAUACGAAGGGGGCUAGCGUUGUUCGGAAUUACUGGGCGUAAAGCGCACGUAGGCGGGUAUUUAAGUCAGGGGUGAAAUCCCAGAGCUCAACUCUGGAACUGCCUUGGAUACUGGGUACCUAGAGUAUGGAAGAGGUGAGUGGAAUUCCGAGUGUAGAGGUGAAAUUCGUAGAUAUUCGGAGGAACACCAGUGGCGAAGGCGGCUCACUGGUCCAUUACUGACGCUGAGGUGCGAAAGCGUGGGGAGCAAACAGGAUUAGAAACCCCAGUAGUCC
rnacentral:rRNA from 1 species